rnacentral:rRNA from 1 species
GACGAACGCUGGCGGCGUGCUUAACACAUGCAUGUCGAACAAAGUGGCGCACGGGUGAGUAAUACGUGAGUAACCUGCCCUCCUUUUUGGGAUAAGCCUUGGACACGGGGUCUAAUACCGGAUAAAGGGGGAUGGGCUCGCGGCCUAUCAGCUUGUUGGUGGGGUGAUGGCCUACCAAGGCGGUGACGGGUAGCGAGCCUGUGAGGGUGACCUGCCAGAUUGGGACUGAAAAACGGACCAGAAUCCUACGGGAGGAAGCAGUUGGGGAUAUUGCAACAUGGGGGAAAGACUGAUGCAGCGACGCGGCGUGGGGGAUGAAGGGUUUGGGGUUGUAAACGUUUUACGCAAUCGAACGGGUAGGUGGAGUAGGAGCGACGGCAAAAUACGUUACAGCAGACGCGGUAAUAC